rnacentral:rRNA from 1 species
UAGCUAGUUGGUGAGGUAAAGGCUUACCAAGGCGACGAUCUGUAGCGGGUCUGAGAGGAUGAUCCGCCACACUGGAACUGAGACACGGUCCAGACUCCUACGGGAGGCAGCAGUGGGGAAUUUUGGACAAUGGGGGCAACCCUGAUCCAGCCAUGCCGCGUGAGUGAAGAAGGCCUUCGGGUUGUAAAGCUCUUUCGGCCGGGGAGAAAUCGCAUGGGCCAAUACCCUGUGUGGAUGACGGUACCGGAAUAAGAAGCACCGGCUAACUACGUGCCAGCAGCCGCGGUAUACGUAGGGUGCGAGCGUUAAUCGGAAUUACUGGGCGUAAAGCGUGCGCAGGCGGUUUUGUAAGACAGGCGUGAAAUCCCCGGGCUUAACCUGGGAACUGCGUUUGUGACUGCAAGGCUAGAGUACGGCAGAGGGGGGUGGAAUUCCACGUGUAGCAGUGAAAUGCGUAGAGAUGUGGAGGAACACCAAUGGCGAAGGCAGCCCCCUGGGUCGAUACUGACGCUCAUGCACGAAAGCGUGGGUAGCAAACAGGAUUAGAUACCCUGGUAGUCCACGCCCUAAACUAUGUCAACUAGGUGUUGGGUGGGUAAAACCAUUUAGUACCGUAGCUAACGCGUGAAGUUGACCGCCUGGGGAGUACGGCCGCAAGGUUAAAACUCAAAGGAAUUGACGGGGACCCGCACAAGCGGUGGAUGAUGUGGAUUAAUUCGAUGCAACGCGAAAAACCUUACCUACCCUUGACAUGCCAGGAACUUGCCAGAGAUGGCUUGGUGCCCGAAAGGGAGCCUGGACACAGGUGCUGCAUGGCUGUCGUCAGCUCGUGUCGUGAGAUGUUGGGUUAAGUCCCGCAACGAGCGCAACCCAUGUCGUUAAUUGCCAUCAUUUAGUUGGGCACUUUAACGAGACUGCCGGUGACAAACCGGAGGAAGGUGGGGAUGACGUCAAGUCCUCAUGGCCCUUAUGGGUAGGGCUUCACACGUCAUACAAUGGUCGGUACAAAGGGUUGCCAAGCCGCGAGGCGGAGCCAAUCCCAGAAAGCCGAUCGUAGUCCGGAUUGCAGGCUGCAACUCGCCUGCAUGAAGUCGGAAUCGCUAGUAAUCGUGGAUCAGCAUGUCACGGUGAACACGUUCCCGGGUCUUGUACACACCGCCCGUCACACCAUGGGAGCGGGUUCCGCCAGAAGUAGGUAGCCUAACCGCAAGGGGGGCGCUUACCACGGCGGGGUUCGUGACUGGGGUGAGGUCGUAACAAGGUAGCCGUAGGGGAACCUGCGGCUG